rnacentral:rRNA from 1 species
AGAGCGAACGCUGGCGGCGUGCUUAACACAUGCAAGUCGAGUGCGCAGUCUUGUGUAGCAAUACACAAGGCCGGCGCACGGCGCACGGGUGCGUAACACGUGGGUAACCUGCCCUCCAAAGGGGGAUAACCCCGCGAAAGCGGGGCUAAUACCGCAUGACAUUCCAGAUUCUUCGGAAUUCGGAUUCAAAGCCCGCAAGGGCGUUGGAGGAGGGGCCCGCGGCCGAUUAGCUUGUUGGCGAGGUAACGGCUCACCAAGGCAAUGAUCGGUA